rnacentral:rRNA from 1 species
GAUGAACGCUGGCGGCGUGCCUAACACAUGCAAGUCGAGCGAUUCUCUUCGGCGAAGAGCGGCGGACGGGUGAGUAACGCGUGGGUAACCUGCCCUGUACACACGGAUAACAUACCGAAAGGUAUGCUAAUACGAGACAAUAUGCUUUUAUCGCAUGGUAGAAGUAUCAAAGCGUUUGCGGUACAGGAUGGACCCGCGUCUGAGUAGCUAGUUGGUAAGGUAACGGCUUACCAAGGCGACGAUCAGUAGCCGACCUUAGAGGGUGAUCGGCCACAUUGGAACUGAGCCACGGUCCAAACUCCUACGGGAGGCAGCAGUGGGGAAUAUUGCACAAUGGGCGAAAGCCUGAUGCAGCGACGCCGCGUGAGCGAUGAAGGCCUUCGGGUCGUAAAGCUCUGUCCUCAAGGAAGAUAAUGACGGUACUUGAGGAGGAAGCCCCGGCUAACUACGUGCCAGCCGCCGCGGUAA